rnacentral:lncRNA from 1 species
AGGGAUAUCUUUGCAUUUAACAUGAAAAAUGUACACCUGUGCAUUGUCAACAAGGUUAUGCUUUUGUUGGCUAUCUAGACCUCAAUGAUUUAUCUGUCAUUAAUGCCACUGGUCACUGGCCCAUGUUUCCAGUAGCAAGAUUGAAAAGAGGAAGACGUAUGUUACUGGGGGGUCUCUAAUCCCUCACCUGGACUAUUCUAAGCAAGAAAAGGUUAAAUGACUUGUGCACUGGGAAGAAAAAAAAAAAAAACAGUUGUCAUCCGUGGUGCCAAAAAUAGAAGUUCUGAUUUCCAGUCCUGUGAUCUCAACAGAAGACAGAAUGUUCACUCUAUCUGACUGAUACAAAAUACAACUUCUCCAAGGACUCUAUUAUUUUGAACUACUGUAAAAUUGAAUAAAACAAGUGUGUCUGGAGUUUGUUCCUGCUGGUGGGUUUGUGGUCUCGCUGACUUCAAGAAUGAAGCCAUGGACCUUUGCGGUGCUGCACAUAUGCCAGGAGCUGAUUCAGUGGUUUCAUCCAAAUGUAAAGCAAAAUAUGGAAUUAUUUCAACAUAUAAUAAUAACUACUGUUACACUUAUGUAAG